rnacentral:tRNA from 1 species
GCUUUUAAAGGACAGUAGUUAUCCAUUGGUCUUAGGAGCCAUCACUCUUGGUGCAAAUCCAUGUAAAAGCU